rnacentral:rRNA from 1 species
AAUCAACGCUGGCGGCGUGCCUCAGACAUGCAAGUCGAACGAUUAAAGCUCUCUUCGGAGAGUGUAUAGAGUGGCGCACGGGUGAGUAACACGUAAGUAAUCUACCCUCGAGUGGGGAAUAACGUCCGGAAACGGACGCUAAUACCGCAUAAUGCAGCGGCACCGCAAGGUGACAGUUGUUAAAGGAGUAAUUCGCUUGAGGAGGAGCUUGCGGCAGAUUAGCUGUUGGUAAGGUAACGGCUUACCAAGGCUACGAUCUGUAUCCGGUCUUAGAGGACGGUCGGACACACUGACACUGAAUAACGGGUCAGACUCCUACGGGAGGCAGCAGUCGGGAAUUUUGGGCAAUGGGCGAAAGCCUGACCCAGCAACGCCGCGUGAAGGAUGAAGUAUUUCGGUAUGUAAACUUCGAAAGAAUAGGAAGAAUUAAUGACGGUACUAUUUAUAAGGUCCGGCUAACUACGUGCCAGCCGCCGCCGUAAU